rnacentral:lncRNA from 1 species
GUGCUACUGUUGAAACUUGAAACUGGAGCGAGUUAUUUGGGGUGGCUCAACAUGUCAUAGCAAUAUGGUGCCUAGAGCACCUUAUCUUCUUAUGUCUUAUUAUUUGGCACAAACCAAACUUUAUUAUAUUAAGUAUUCACGUUUCUAAAGACAAAUUGUUUCGUAUUCUGCUUCCGUGGGUUUCAUUGUAUAUGCUUGCCGUGUAUGUUAAAAAUUCAGUUAAAAAUAGCAAAUUCAGGCACAAGUCAUGUUUUGAAUCUGGCAACGUGCAAUUUGAAUUAUUGUCGUCCUCUUUAUCUCUUCUAGAUUUUUUUUUGCGGAAAUCUCUUCUAGAUUUUAGAUUCAUCAACCAGGGUAUCAUUUCCAACCAUCAAUGUCCUAGCAGGAGAUCACUUCCUUUUUUUGCGUAUGUCCUUCCUUAUCUUUUCCAUCCUUAAAUUAUAAGAUACGUAGCAGCGCGCAGAUGUAUAUAGAAAUAUUAUCCUUCUUUAUUUCUCUUUUGAAGAGCCUCUGGUUCCUUCCUUAUUUAUCAUGAUCUCUGAGAGACUUCCUGAUACCCAGGAAAUGAAUGAUGUAUAUAAAUAAGAUAGAUUGGAUGUAAAUCAGCGAGGUGGGACUAUUCAAUAUCGGCCUCAACCUUCCCUUGUAGACACAGGACGUUAGCUUAGUUGGCCUUGAUUUUUGCCUCUUAACCGGGAUAGAUGGGCCUCAACUUUCCCUUGUACACACAGGAUGUUAGCUUAGUUGGCCUUGAUUUUUGCCUCUUAACCGGGAUAGAUGGGCCGGAUUUUCUGGACCAUGACACAUGGGUUGGUUCGUUCGCUCGGCCUCGCUGGCUGACGAAGGAAACUGACGUACGAAAUAGCGGACGGACGAAACGGACGAAAAUCAGGGCGUAAGAAGCGUUUCGUGCUUUAUUAUUAGGUAAAGAUGUGUAGGUCCUGUUGUUGUCCAAUAGAGACAUAUCACCUGGAACCAUAAAUAUCUAGUGGUGAUACUGUUGAAACUUGAAACUGGAGCGAGUUAUUUGGUGUGACUCAACAUGUCAUACCAAUAUGGUGCCUAGAGCAGCUUAUCUUCUUAUGUCUUAUUAUUUGGCACAAACCAAACUUUAUUAUUUUAAGUAUUCACGUUUCUAAAGACAAAUUGUUUCGUAUUCUGCUUCCGUGGGUUUCAUUGUAUAUGCUUGCCGUGUGUGUUAAAAUUUCAGUUAAAAAUAGCAAAUUCAGGCAUAUGUCAUGUUUCGAAUCUGGCAACGUCCAAUUUGAAUUAUUGUCGUCCUCUUUAUCUCUUCUAGAUUUUUUUUUGCGGAAAUCUCUUCUUGAUUUUAGAUUCAUCAACCAGGGUAUCAUUUCCAACCGUCAGUGUCCUAGCUGGAGAUCACUUCCUUUUUUUGCGUAUGUCCUUCCUUAUCUUUUCCAUCCUUAAAUUAUAAGAUACGUAGCAGCGCGCACAUGUAUAUAAAAAUAUUAUCCUUCUUUAUUUCUCUUGUGAAGAGUCUCUGGUUCCUUCCUUAUUUACCAUGAUCUCUGAGAGACUUCCUGAUACCCAGGAAAUGAAUGAUGUAUAUAAAUAAGAUAGAUUGGAUGUAAAUCAGCUAGGUGGGACUAGUCAAUAUCGGCCUCAACCUUCCCUUGUAGACACAGGACGUUAGCUUAGUUGACCUUGAUUUUUGCUUCUUAACCGGGAUAGAUGGGCCUCAACUUUCCCUUGUACACACAGGACGUUAGCUUAGUUGGCCUUGAUUUUUGCCUCUUAACCGGGAUAGAUGGGCCGGUUUUCUGGACCAUGACACAUGGGUUGGUUCGUUCGCUCGGCCUCGCUGGCUAACGAAGGAAACUGACGUACGAAAUAGCGGACGGAUGAAACGGACGAAAAUUAGGGCGUAAGAAGCGUUUCGUGCUUUAUUAUUAGGUAAAGAUGUGUAGGUCCUGUUGUUGUCCAAUAGAGACAUAUCACCUGGAACCAUAAAUAUCUAGUGGUGAUACUGUUGAAACUUGAAACUGGAGCGAGUUAUUUGGUGUGGCUCAACAUGUCAUAGCAAUAUGGUGCCUAGAGCAGCUUAUCUUCUUAUGUCUUAUUAUUUGGCACAAACCAAACUUCAUUAUAUUAAGUAUUCACGUUUCUAAAGACAAAUUGUUUCGUAUUCUGUCUCCGUGGGUUUCAUUGUAUAUGCUUUCCAUGUGUGUUAAAAAUUCAGUUAAAAAUAGCAAAUUCAGGCACAUGUCAUGUUUCGAAUCUGGCAACGUGCAAUUUGAAUUACUGUCGUCCUCUUUAUCUCUUCUAGAUUUUUUUUGCGGAAAUCUCUUCUAG